ACCCUGGGCUCUGAUUUCUCAGACUCGAAGUUUUUGCCCAACUUUCCCCCACCCCCACCUCCCAACCCACCCCUAAUCUGCUCCUAUUCCCUUUUCUCUGGCCACCGGAUUUCCAGUUCUUCCAGCGCACUACUCAAGCCCCGAGAAAGCAUCUGUAAACUCAACUCCAGAACAACUGGCUUCAUGUUUCUCUGAGGCUGAUGGUAAACCACAAUCUUCCUGGAACACCUGGAAAGCUUAAACUGGUUAUUCUCCCCAUCCCUGAGAAAGGAUGAUACCGUCCGUCUACUCUGAGUUCUGAAGAUCAACACACUUCUCCAUGCUCUUGUUUGAAGAGAAUUUGUCUUGGCUGGGACCCCAUCUGUAGCUCUUGAGACAGAGACAAUUUCCUGGGGACUCUCAGGCCUGACAACUAGACAUUUAAUCCUAAAAUCCCAUGGAGCCAGUUGGUUAUUGAAGACCUUAAGGCAAUAUCAUGAUGUUUUAAGAGCAGACUCCAGAUCUGAUGGCCUGAAUUCAUACCAACUCUUAGGUAAGUUAUUCUGUAUAAAUUUUUACCUCUCUGAGCCCCAGUUUCCUCAUUUGUAAAAUGGGUAUAAUAGCAGCUUUCUUGUAGAUGGUCAUGAAGA
rnacentral:lncRNA from 1 species